rnacentral:rRNA from 1 species
AGAGUUUGAUCCUGGCUCAGAGCGAACGCUGGCGGCAUGCUUAACACAUGCAAGUCGCACGGCCGGGGGCAACUCCGGCAGUGGCGGACGGGUGAGUAACGCGUAGGUAUCUAUCCUCGGGUGGGGGACAACUGUGGGAAACUACAGCUAAUACCGCAUGACGACUGAGGUCCAAAGCUCGCGAGAGCGCCUGGGGCGGAGCCUGCGUACGAUUAGCUAGUUGGUGGGGUAAAGGCCUACCAAGGCGACGAUCGUUAGCUGGUCUGAGAGGAUGAUCAGCCACAUUGGGACUGAGACACGGCCCAAACUCCUACGGGAGGCAGCAGUGGGGAAUAUUGGACAAUGGGCGCAAGCCUGAUCCAGCAAUGCCGCGUGUGUGAAGAAGGUCUUCGGAUUGUAAAGCACUUUCGACGGGGACGAUGAUGACGGUACCCGUAGAAGAAGCCCCGGCUAACUUCGUGCCAGCAGCCGCGGUAAUACGAAGGGGGCUAGCGUUGCUCGGAAUGACUGGGCGUAAAGGGCGCGUAGGCGGAUGGCACAGUCAGAUGUGAAAUUCCCGGGCUCAACCUGGGGGCUGCAUUUGAUACGUGUGGUCUGGAGUGAGGAAGAGGGUCGUGGAAUUCCCAGUGUAGAGGUGAAAUUCGUAGAUAUUGGGAAGAACACCGGUGGCGAAGGCGGCGACCUGGUCCUUGACUGACGCUGAGGCGCGAAAGCGUGGGGAGCAAACAGGAUUAGAUACCCUAGUAGUCC